UCCGUGUGUCCGUAUGUCCACGGCUGGACCGCCUUGGCUGGCGAUACAGAGGGGGCAGUGGCACAGCCAGCUUUUGGGGUACCCCCAAGCUGAGGAGCAUACAAGGAGCAGGAGGAGAGAGUUUUGCAUGGGGAGACCCCGAUGAAUUGACUGCUGGAGGGGAGGGUGCCCACCUGCCUGACCCUGUACCCCUGCAGCCAGAGUGAGCCCCCCGAUCCCAUCUGGAACCUCAGAACCCUGCUGGGUCUGUGCUGCGUGGCUCCUUUCAGCUUUGCUUCCCGAGCAGCUGUGCAGCUCCGCAGUCCGGCAUCACCCACGCUGUGCCAAUAGGGAAACUGAGGCACUGUCAGGUCCCACUUCCUCUGGCAGCAGCAGCCCUUGUCAGAGCAAGCCCUGCACAGUGUGGGAGCAAAGGAGAAGGUCUGGGGGGGUUGUACCCCCCACGACACACACUGUCACUGAGGGCGGGGGUCCUUACCAACAUCCUGUGGUCUCCUGCCUGGUGCCAUCAUGCCAACAACAUGUUGGGGUACAACCAGAGUCCUCAACCAUCAGCCCAGAGCAGAGAGCCAGACCACGGGGUCCCUCCUGCCUCACUCCUCCUCGCUGCUGCUCCAGGGGCCUUUUCCAGCCCGUGAACCUCCCUGUCCCUCCACGCUGUGCAGCUGAGGGGAACACGUUACCCUUUGCACUGGCCUCAGCUGAGGUCAUGUUUUCAACAGAUCUGGUCUGGCUCUUUCAGGAGAAGGGGCCCCAUGCGGAUGGCCCUGGGGAGCUCGCACCACCCCUCUGCUCCGGCAGCGACCGCCUCGCUCCGAGCUGAUGCCAGCACAGCAUGAGAAGAUCACUCUGGUGCAGGAUCUGGCUGGAUGCAGUUUGGGUCCAGCAAGACACAGAACAGCAGUGGCCACAUGGCCAGAGAGGGGUGUGAUGCCAGCAGGACCACAGGCAGGGCGAUUGUGUCUGCUGCCACUGCCUUGUCCCUCCCUGCCAGGGAGUGGGAAUGGGGAGCUGCCAGCUCUCCACUGAGAUCCUCCUGCCCUUCCGCCAGCCUGACCUGCUGCUCCCAGCUCUGCUCCCUGCUGCAGCAUCCUUGCUGUGCUGCACAGAGCCCUGCGUGCUGCUCCCACACUGCUGCCAACCACCUCACCACCCAGCCUCGUCUCACAGCCCCCAGCCCUCCUUGCUGCUCUUUGCCACCGCCUCAUGCUGGUCUUUGGUGUGUCAUAAAAGCACUCCUAUCACAGGCAAUUUGAUUUAAUUAUUCGGGUAAGAAUUCACAAGGCACUGUGUCAAAUGCUUAAUUAAAACCUCAAUCUAUGCUGCUGCCUGCACCCCACAGUGCGCGCUGGCAGCGAUGCGCUCGGCACACUCUCUGGCUGCAGUUGGAUGUGAGCUGUCUGCUCCAGCUUUGUAACCCCAGGAGCUCUGCCCUGGCUGGGAAUGUCAAGAGAGGGACCCAUUCUGCUUUCUCACUGUGCCCAGCAUUGCACCAAAGCACAGCAGAGCUGCUGGGAGCAUCGUGCAGGGCAGCACCCACAGUUUUGCACCCACAGUUGGUGCCUUGUUGCUCUUCACGGCUUUGUCCUGAUGCCUCUUUCCUUCCAGCAGGGGAAGAAAAGAAGCCGGGUUGGAACUGAAUUGGCUUUAGGGCCUCUUCCAGCACCAGCUAUUCUGUGAUUCUGUGGGAGGUGGAAGAGGGAGCGUGGGGGGAGCAGGCAGAGGGGAGGCAGUUGGGGCGUCCCGGGGCCCCACGCAGCCAAGGAGAAGGGGCUGUGUGCGACGGAGUGCGUUUCCCUCUGAGUGAAAGAACAGAUGUCUCUUGUCUAUGGCUUGCAGUUGGCUCUGGUUUUCAUCUCCCCUGUCUAUGCACACGCAGAUUUAUAGCUGCCUUAAUUAGUUCCUUACAAAACAAUCUAGUUGCCCGCAUGCCUGUCUGAGCCCCGGGAGGUGCAACGGGCAGGAGGCCGGGGCAACGUGGGGUGGCACAGCCGUUCAGCAGCCCUGGCUGCCUGCAUGAGCUCAGGUCACCUGCUGGGGCCGGGGGAUGCUCUUGACACAGCCCUGCACGGCCCCAUGGGUGCAAAGGGCUUCACCUCCUGCUGCAUGCAGGGGAUGCUUCUGUGGUGAAACAGGGCAGGCGAACACUCAGCUGCACGCAUGCACAAAGCCACCCCAGCACACGUGCACAAAGCCACCUGUGCACAUGCGCAGCUUGCACGCUUUGCUCUCUCCAUGCCUUAACCUGCACAGCCUGGCCCCAGUGCUGUCCCCAGGUCCCCAUGCAUGGAGCUGCACGGUGAUGCUUCUCUGAGCACCUUUCACGGGCACGCCGUGUAAACAAGCCAUGACUCAGCUGCCCGUGUGGUUUCCCCAGUGGAAAUGCUUCGUCCGCCGCUGUGGAAAGAGCAAAGAUUGCCUGCAGGGAAGAGCCGACAGCUCCAUAAAACGUCACGGAGCCGUGCAGGUCUGACUGGGGUGCAGGGGAGAUGGUUGGGGUGAACGCUUCCCAGCCCAAACUGAGAGGUGUGCGUGCAUUGCAGGCAGCUGAGGGCAGAGCCACUGCGGGUCCCACACCUCCCACAGAGCCCCAUCCACCCCACAGCUCCCUUCAGACAAGAAAACUGACUGCUUACAUAGCCCAGGCUCGCAGUUAGUAGAAAAACAUGUUUUUCGCAUUAAAAUUUCCCUUGAAAAACAAUGGUUUAAAUUAAGCAUAGGAAAAGAAAAGCAAGGAAUCAAAAAAAAAAAAAAAGGGGUGGGGGUGAGGGAGGCGAAAAAUAUUUUUAAAAAGGGAAAUUUGAGGUGGAGCUCAGAAGCAGUCCCCCGAGGGCUGCAGCUUUCCCCCAUCCCAUGGAGCUCCUGGAAGCAGGUGGGGUCCCAGGGACUGUGCAGCACUGAAUGUG